rnacentral:rRNA from 1 species
UACGUAGGAUCCGAGCGUUGUCCGGAUUUACUGGGUGUAAAGGGUGCGCAGGCGGACUGGUAAGUCAGAGGUGAAAUCUCGUCGCUUAACGACGAAACUGCCUUUGAUACUAUCAGUCUUGAAUCCGGUAGAGAUCUGUGGAAUUCCGAGUGUAGCAGUGAAAUGUGUAGAUAUUCGGAAGAACACCAGUGGCGAAGGCAGCAGAUUGGGCUGGUAUUGACGCUCAGGCACGAAAGCAUGGGGAUCAAACAGG